UCCAUCUUAUUUUCAAUUUCUCCGCCAAAUCCCACUUCUGUUCGAGAGUCAGCCCGCCUAGCUGCUCCCGCUGCAGACGCCAUCGCCGCCCGACACCACCCAACCCAGCCCUCCCGCCUCCGACGCCAUCGCCUAUUCGGAGACUCUCCGCCGAUGCCACGCUCCUGCGAUACCAUCUUCGAAAUUCUAGCUCUAUUUUAUUCAUGACGCCGAACGCCUCCGCUGUCGACGUUGUUUGGCUACGUCCCGGUCGCGGCCAGGUUCUUAUUUCAAGAAGUCGAGUCUAGAGUUAUGCUUGCCAGAUUUUAUUUUGUUGCUGUGGUUUGAUGUUUUACAACUACUUUUGGUGUUUCUUUGGUAAUAUCUUUGUGUGAAAAUCAAAUAUUUGACCUUGAAUUGCUUAGUAGGUUCGACUAUGUCAACAACUUUAAUGUCGAAUCUUGUUGUGCUCAUUGUUAAAUUGCCUAGGAGGAUGUAAUUUCCAUAUUUGAUUCAGAUUGUUGGAUUUGAAAUUUUUGAAUUCCAAGAAUUUGAUGUGGAUUUAGGCUUUUGAUUAGUUCGAUUCUAAUUCAAUUUUGGUAUAUCUUGUUUGAGUUGAUGCUAUUGGUAUUAUCAAUUGGUGCUAUUGAUAAUUGGACAAUUGAGCUUGAUUUGUUGAACUUUUCUGUCUAGGUGAUUCUUUUGUGAUUUUCAUGUCUGUAGCGACUCUUAGAUUGUCAAUUGAUUGUGAUGUUAGAAUGUUUGGGAAGAAGAAGGAAGCUGAAAUUGCAAAGGGAAAGAAGAGUGUUAAGAGUGAAGUGGACUCUUCUAUCACUUCUGUGUUGGUGUCGGUGUUUGUGUUGUUGAAAUCAUAUGGGAGCAAUAUGAUAGUAGCACCUGAAGAGCAUCUGAAAGCAUUUCUGUACAUAUAACUAACAGUCUGCAUCAAUGCUUGAUUAUUGCUUUGCUUCAAUUGUCACUGACAGUGCUAGAAUAGAAUGCCCUUCCAGGUGGUGCUGCGAACUCAGCCAGCCAAGUCAUUGAUUACACAUGUUUGUGGUGAUGCUUAGUAAAGCCAAGCCAGGUUUCUUGGAGGUGUUUCAGUGACUGGUGAUGAGGGAACGGAAUUCAACGGUGCAGACUACCCUUUGUUUUAACAAUGCAAUGCAAUGCAGCAGGGAAGGGAUGAGUUGAGAUGAACACAAGCAAGCAGCAAGCUACCCAAAUAGCUGUUGCGAGUUCCUUGGAUGUAUUCUGACUGUGUGUAUUAUUCGUUUGUUAGAAUACUCUUCUCCUUUCUGGAAAAGCUGCUGGAGUAAGGUUGGGUUAGAAGCCAGGCUGUUGCCAUUGGAGUUGCUCCUGCUAAGCAGGCUUAGGUAGCUGCUUUAGUUUAGACAAUAUUAUUUUGUUGCUUCAUGUGAAUGUGGCUCUGUAACUUGAAUGAUAAUGUAAAAGGCUAUUUUUCUUUUCUAAAUUUUUACCGACUGUAGAAUAUUUAUUUAGAAGACCAUAUAAAACACAAUCACCUCCAAGUGUAUUAGUAUGAAUAUUUUAAAUUAGGGUUGAAUUUGA